rnacentral:rRNA from 1 species
AUACGGAGGGUGCAAGCGUUAUCCGGAAUCAUUGGGCGUAAAGGACGCGUAGGCGGGUUUGUAAGUCAGGUGUGAAAUCCUACAGCUCAACUGUAGAACUGCACUUGAAACUACAGACCUAGAGUAUGGAAGGGGCAGAUGGAAUUAGUGGUGUAGGGGUAAAAUCCGUAGAUAUCACUAGGAAUACCGAAAGCGAAGGCGAUCUGCUGGGACAUUACUGACGCUGAGGCGUGAAAGCGUGGGGAGCAAACAGGAUUAGAAACCCUAGUAGUCC